AGAUUGAACGCUGGCGGCAUGCCUUACACAUGCAAGUCGAACGGCAGCACGGGGGCAACCCUGGUGGCGAGUGGCGAACGGGUGAGUAAUGCAUCGGAACGUGCCCAGUAGUGGGGGAUAACUAGUCGAAAGAUUAGCUAAUACCGCAUACGACCUACGGGUGAAAGCGGGGGAUUCGCAAGAACCUCGCGCUAUCGGAGCGGCCGAUGUCUGAUUAGCUAGUGCGGGUAAAAGCCACAAGGCUUCGAUCAGUAGCUGGUCUGAGAGGACGACCAGCCACACCUGGGACUGACGACGAACGGCCCAGACUCCGUAACGGGAGGCAGCAGUGGGAAUUUGGACAAGUCGGCGACAAGCCGUGAUCAGCCAAUGCCGACGUGACGGGAAGAAGGCCUUCGGUUA
rnacentral:rRNA from 1 species